CUCCCCAUUGCUGACCUAUACUUAUCUAUAACUGGGCAAAUAACUUGCUAAUUAGCAAAGAACAUCAACAAAUGUGGAAAUAUGGCUCUCAACUGAUCUGGUUUGUUACAUUGAAAAGGGGCGGGACAUAAUCUUGAUUAGAUCACAGAAACAAACAUUGAUCUAUAUAAUGCAAACUAAUUGUGCUAAAUAAUAUAAAUAGAGGGAGAGAGACUGAGGGAUGCAGACAGUGAAGAGGUAAUAUAAAUAGAGGAAGAGAGACUGAGGGAUGCAGACAGUGAAGAGGUAAUAUAAAUAGAGGAAGAGAGACUGAGGGAUGCAGACAGUGAAGAGGUAAUAUAGAGGGAGAGAGACUGAGGGAUACAGACAGUGAAGAGGUAAUAUAAAUAGAGGGAGAGAGACUGAGGGAUGCAGACAGUGAAGAGGUAAUAUAAAUAGAGGAAGAGAGACUGAGGGAUACAGACAGUGAAGAGGUAAUAUAAAUAGAGGGAGAGAGACUGAGGGAUGCAGACAGUGAAGAGGUAAUAUAGAGGGAGAGAGACUGAGGGAUACAGACAGUGAAGAGGUAAUAUAAAUAGAGGGAGAGAGACUGAGGGAUGCAGACAGUGAAGAGGUAAUAUAGAGGGAGAGAGACUGAGGGAUACAGACAGUGAAGAGGUAAUAUAAAUAGAGGGAGAGAGACUGAGGGAUGCAGACAGUGAAGAGGUAAUAUAAAUAGAGGAAGAGAGACUGAGGGAUGCAGACAGUGAAGAGGUAAUAUAGAGGGAGAGAGACUGAGGGAUACAGACAGUGAAGAGGUAAUAUAAAUAGAGGGAGAGAGACUGAGGGAUACAGACAGUGAAGAGGUAAUAUAGAGGGAGAGAGACUGAAGGAAAUGACAAAACAGAGGGAGAGAUGCAAGACUAAUUGAUACAGACAGUGACUGUGGGAUUAGUUGGCCAUAGUCUCAUUUCAGAACAGUAUGCAGCCAUUGCUCCUGGCACCAACAUGCUCGAAAAAUCUGCAGGUUUUCUCUCCGAGACAAUUUCUUCGGCAGGAUGGAAAGUAGCCCAAACAAACAUUUUUAAUAAGCAGCCAGAUACAUAAAUGUUCAGAUUAUGCCAAAUGUUGCUAAGAGUAACAAUGUGACUUUUGGGCCAUAUGUUCAGUUUUCUUCCUUUCAUAGCAGGGUUUCCUUGUUGGUGGGGACACCCAGGGAGUGCACAGUUUUGUUCUCUCUCAUCUCUAACACUGGCAUAUAUGUAGCCUAGUGUUUAGAGCGUUGGGCUAGUAACCGAAAGGUUGCUCGAUUGAUUCCCCGAGCUGACAAGGUACAAAUCUGUCAUUCUGCCUAUGAAAAAGGCAGUUAAACCCCUGUUCUUAGGCCGUCAUAAAUAAGAAUUUGUUCUAAACUGACUUGCCUGGUUAAAUUAAAUGUAAAAAACACUCCUGAUUUGCCCGAUCAAGGACUUGGUGAUGAGUUGAGAAGGUCUGAAUGACAGACAGGCAGUAGGGCUGCACGAUAUGGGCAAAAAAUGUA